rnacentral:rRNA from 1 species
UACGUAGGGUGCGAGCGUUGUCCGGAUUUAUUGGGCGUAAAGAGCGUGUAGGCGGCCAUACAGGUCCGUUGUGAAAACUGGAGGCUUAACCUCCAGACGUCGAUGGAAACCGUAUGGCUAGAGUCCGGAAGAGGAGAGUGGAAUUCCUGGUGUAGCGGUGAAAUGCGCAGAUAUCAGGAAGAACACCGGUGGCGAAGGCGGCCUGCUGGGCUAUGGCUGACACUGAGGCGCGACAGCGUGGGGAGCAAACAGG